rnacentral:rRNA from 1 species
CCUACGGGGGGCAGCAGUGAGGAAUAUUGGUCAAUGGCCGGGAGGCUGAACCAGCCAAGUCGCGUGAGGGAAGACGGCCCUACGGGUUGUAAACCUCUUUUGUCAGGGAGCAAUUGGCGCUACGUGUAGCGUUAUCGAGAGUACCUGAAGAAAAAGCAUCGGCUAACUCCGUGCCAGCAGCCGCGGUAAUACGGAGGAUGCGAGCGUUAUCCGGAUUUAUUGGGUUUAAAGGGUGCGUAGGCGGAAUGCCAAGUCAGCGGUAAAAUCGCGGGGCUCAACCUCGCUCCGCCGUUGAAACUGGCGUUCUUGAGUGGGCGAGAAGUAUGCGGAAUGCGUGGUGUAGCGGUGAAAUGCUUAGAGAUCAUACAGAACACCGAUUGCGAAGGCAGCUUACCAAACUAUAUCUGACGUUGAGGCACGAAAGCGUGGGUAGCAAACAGGAUUAGAUACCCUGGUAGUC